rnacentral:rRNA from 2 species
GGGUUGUGAGGUUAAGCGACUAAGCGUACACGGUGGAUGCCCUGGCAGUCAGAGGCGAUGAAGGACGUGCUAAUCUGCGAAAAGCGCCGGCGAGGUGAUAUGAACCUUUGACCCGGCGAUGUCCGAAUGGGGAAACCCAGUGUGAUUCGUCACACUAUCGUUAACUGAAUACAUAGGUUAACGAGGCGAACUGGGGGAACUGAAACAUCUAAGUACCCCGAGGAAAAGAAAUCAACCGAGAUUCCCCAGUAGCGGCGAGCGAACGGGGAGCAGCCCAGAGUCUGAAUCAGCUUGUGUGUUAGUGGAAGCGUCUGGAAAGUCGCACGGUACAGGGUGACAGUCCCGUACACGAAAGCACACAGGUUGUGAACUCGAAGAGUAGGGCGGGACACGUGGUAUCCUGUCUGAAUAUGGGGGGACCAUCCUCCAAGGCUAAAUACUCCUGACUGACCGAUAGUGAACCAGUACCGUGAGGGAAAGGCGAAAAGACCCCGGCGAGGGGAGUGAAAUAGAACCUGAAACCGUGUACGUACAAGCAGUGGAGCACCUUCGUGGUGUGACUGCGUACCUUUUGUAUAAUGGGUCAGCGA